UACAGGGGGGUGCAAACGUUGCUCGGAAUCAUUGGGCGUAAAGCGCACGUAGGCGGUUCGUUAUGUCGGAUGUGAAAGCCCUUGGCUUAACCGAGGAAGUGCAUCCGAAACUGGCGAGCUAGAGUACGAAAGAGGAUCGCGGAAUUCCCGGUGUAGAGGUGAAAUUCGUAGAUAUCGGGAGGAACACCGGUGGCGAAGGCGGGUCUCUGGGCCGUAACUGACGCUGAGGAGCGAAAGCGUGGGGAGCGAACAGG
rnacentral:rRNA from 1 species